UCUGGAAGCUGAAAUAAAAAUGCAUGCAAUUCAAGUGUUUGCAUGCAAAAACAGCCUUCCUAUAGCAACAUAAUGGAGAUCUCUGCCUAGCUCAGUGAAGAAUAGACUGGGCUAGAUCGUUCCUCUCCCUACAUG